UCAUUCUUCUCUCCACUAACUUAAGGAUAUUCUCUUCUUUCUUCUAGUCUUCACCUUGAUUUGCAUGUCGGCCACGUGUGUUGUCUUUGUGCCGUUGGUUUCCUCUAGCUCCUAUACCAGUCUGUGGUGAUGGGAUUGGGCUGCUUCGCAUUGUUGGUUGUUUUGAAGGCCGAACACCAGACAGGCCUUUCUCUUCAAUGUGAUGAUUUUAUAUGCUGCUUCAAAUUUCAUGCGUGUAGGUUUCUUGAUCUCACGUGUGUUUCUUUGUAUCAAUCUCUCCUCUCCUCUUCUUUUUG
rnacentral:lncRNA from 1 species